UUAAUAUUUUCCUCAUAAAUAUUCUGUAUUUACUUAAUAUUAGUUAAUUUACUGUUUGUGAAUAAUUGUGAAAGUAAGACCUUUAUUCAGAAUAUAUAUUAUUGAUUGACUGUAUUGAUAUGACUGUACCUUAUAUCUUUGCCACAAUGUACUACAAUUAUUGACAUUUAAAAAUAAACAAUAGUGUUGAAAGAUCAAUGUUAUUAAAUAACAUAAUUAUCACAUUGCAUGGAAAAGUAAAAAAAAGUAAAAGUAGCAUCUAAAAGUUUCUGUUCUCUUGGCUACCAGUUUUUGGCAAUUUAUUAAAUUAUUUAGUUAGCCCAUAACGUUAUUAAGUUAUUUUAAGCCUAUAACAUUUAUAGCAAUUAUGAAGUUUAACCUUUAAUAUUAUUAUUAACUAUUUCUCUUCUUUUUGUUGUUUUUGUUGUUAUUGUUGCAAGAUUCAAUGUACUUAUCCUUUUUAGUAGGUAAAACUUUAAUUUUACACAAUGUCUCAGCAUUCAGAAAAAGAGUGUAUCAACGCUAGCACAACAAAUAUUGGUCUUUGCACAUCUCCUUUAAAUAAAUUUGUAUGGAAUAUGGCUAACACAAGAGUAUUAUUAGAUUUAUGGAAAGAUCAUUACAAAGCAUUAACAUCUGCAAGAAGAAACACAAAUAUUUACAAACAAAUGGCAGCUGAAUUUUCAAACACAUUUAAUAUCGUACCUCCGUUAACUGAUAUCAAAUUCAAUCUAAAAUUAGUAAUUUGAGGAAGCAAUUUAGACGAGAAAAACUUCAAGUUGGUUCAUCAGGAGGAGCUCCUAGUAAAUGGUGGCCUUACGAUAUUGUUGCCAAAAUAAUAGGUGGUGAAGCUUCCCUUGACAAUGGCCUUUUAUCUCAAAGUCUUAACUUUUCUACUCAAGAUUUUCAAGAUGGUCAGAUUGCCACAAUGGAAGAUAGCAAGGAGACUGUCAGUAUUUUAAAUAUUGAAGCUUUGGAUGAUACAAGUGAUGUGCAAUCAGUUGUCACUAUUCCUGAUGAGGAACUAACUCAAUCUACAUCCAGCUGCAAUAAACGAAGGAACUCUGAUGAUAAAAAAACUUUGAAUAAAAUAGCAAAAACUGAACCGGUGAGAAAAAAUAAAAAAACAAAUU